UAAGAAAAAAAGUUAAAAAACUGAUAAAACUUGGAUCUGUCAUCUCAAGAGACUUCCCCAUAAAGAUCAAACUUCAGUUUCUUAUAACUGGCAGCAUUUUCUCGGGACCCAAAACGUAACAUAACCGGAGACAGACAAAAUCAGAAUGGGUACCUGAAAUCGUGGUUGGGGGAGUUGGGCAGGGUCCGAUCGGGACGGAGAAAAUGCGAGAGAGAGAGAGAGAGUGAGAGAGAGAGAGAAAGAGGACUGGGGAAAAGUGAGGGAAAGAGAGAGGGG